CUUUAUGGUGGGCUGUGCGUGGGAGACCUUAGGGUCUGCCGGGCUCCGUAGCCCCGGUUCGCCAACCCGCGCACGGUUCGCCUCCAUC
rnacentral:antisense_RNA from 1 species